GUUCGGGGCGUGACAAAAUGGUAUCAGAGCUUAGGUUAUGAUCAUUGGGGAUUAUGAUAUAAGUGAUUAAGAUUUGAUAAAAUGAUAUUAGAGCUUAAGUUUAAGUCACUAGGAAUUAUGAAGUGAUAUCAAAACUUUAUGCAUGAUCAAUAGGAUGUGACAGAGUGAUAUCAGAGAAUAUGAUAGAACAGUACUAGAGCUCAGGUUUAAGGUCACU
rnacentral:lncRNA from 1 species